ensembl:lncRNA
UGUGGGGAUGUGGGGAUAUGGAGACAUGGGGAUGUGAGGACAUGGAGACGUGGGGAUGUGGGGACGUGGGAACAUGGAGAUGUGGGGAUGUGGGGACAUGGAGACAUGGGGAUGUGGGGACUUGGGGACAUGGGGAUGUGGGGAUCUGGAGAUGUGGGGACAUGGGGACAUGGAGAUGUGGGGACAUGGGGAUGUGGGGAUGUGGGGACAUGGGGACAUGGGGAUGUGGGGACAUGGAAAUGUGGGGACAUGGAGAUGUGGAGAUGUGGGGACAUGGGGACGUGGAGAUGUGGGAACAUGGAGAUGUGGGGAUUUGCGGACGUGGGGAUGUUGAGAUGUGGGGACAUGAGGACGUGGAGAUGUGGGAAUGUGGGGACAUGGAGAUAUGGGGAUAUGGAGAUGUGGGAAUGUUGUGAUGUGGCGACAUGGGGAUGCGUCCCCUCUGGCCACUCACCCAUAGGUUUCUGUCCAAAGCAGCACAGUGUGGACCUGGCAGUGCGAGGGCAGCGCAGCAGACCCACAUCUGCAGCGCCCAGCGGCAGCCCUGCGUCCCUGCAUGGAGCAGCUGCAGUUCCCCAGGGCCGGCAGCAGGACGAGGGCAGCCCGCAGCUCCACACCAGGGAUUUCUUCCACUCCCAGCGCACCCUGACGCUUCCCCAGAGGAAAGGAACUCGGGACAGCUUGGAUCUCCUCACCGGUAAGACCCAACGGGCCUGGCUAUGGGGUGGGGGUUCCUGUGCCCUACAGCACAGCCCCGCUGCCCCCAUAGGGAAGAGAGCCGCCUCCAGGCUGGAGAAAAGCAGGCUGAAGGCCGGCUCCGAGCUGACCCUGCUGCCCCACGGCAAGUCACCCACGGCCAGCUGCGAGGUGUGGGACUGCAGCCACCACCAGGGCUCUUUCCUUUCGCCCCUCCUGAAGCGCGCUGCGUCCGCCAGGAGCGCCUGGAAGCGUCCCGCAUCCAUGGGCAGCACGGAGAGAGGGAAGGUGCUGCAGAAGAGAAAGGAGUGGGAGAUGAAGGCAGCGAUGUGAGCGGAGUGAUGCUGCGCCGCGCGGGGACCGAGCCGGGCUGCGGUGCUGGAGAGCUGCUAUGGGGCCGUGCUGGGGGGGCACACCGGCACCCCAAACCUUCUGUGGGGUCACAUCGGCACCCCAAACCUUCUGUGGGGUCACACCGGCACCCCAAACCUUCUGUGGGGUCACUGCUUCUCUGUGUUUUCGGUGUGGGUUUCCCAGUGGGGCGGAGAUGGUGGAAAUGGUCCCAAUGGUGCCCAGCUGUGCCCAACGGACCCCAAUAGAACCCAAUGGACCCCAGUGGUGCCCAGUAGAACCCAGUGGUGCCCAACAGACCCCCAAUGGUGCCCAACAGACCCCCAAUGGUGCCCAACAGAACCCAAUGGUGCCCAGCGGAUCCCAGUGGUGCCCAACGGACCCCAGUAGAACCCAAUGGACCCCAAUCGUGCCCAAUAGACUCCAGUGGUGCCCAAUGGAUCCCAAUGGUGCCCAACGGACCCCAAUGGUGCCCAGUAGAACCCAAUGGUGCCCAACGGACCCCAAUAGAACCCAACGGACCCCAGUGGUGCCCAAUAGAACCCAGUGGUGCCCAAU